UACGGAGGAGGCAAGCGUUAUCCGGAAUUAUUGGGCGUAAAGCGUCCGCAGGUGGCACUUCAAGUCUGUCGUCAAAGACUGGGGCUUAACCCUGGAAAGGCCGUGGAAACUGAAUAGCUAGAGUGCAGUAGGGGUAGAGGGAAUUCCCGGUGUAGCGGUGAAAUGCGUAGAGAUCGGGAAGAACAUCGGUGGCGAAAGCGCUCUGCUGGACUGCAACUGACACUCAGGGACGAAAGCUAGGGGAGCGAAUGGG
rnacentral:rRNA from 1 species